rnacentral:ribozyme from 1 species
CUUCUCUUCUGCUCUGCUAAAGAGGCAAGAUCCGAAGAAUUAUGAAGAUCACAAAGGCUCUCUUACCAAACUCUUGUUCCGCAACGUCCUCGUUGUGCAGAAUGGCAGCUUGACCAUCGUUUUUUCCAAACUUGGGGACA